UAACUUCUUCCCCUUCUCUUUCACUUCUUUCCUUUUCCUUUCUUCCUGUUUCAUUUUUUCGAAUUCUAAACCCUAGCGUUUCACAUUCUUCUUUUAUUCUCUACGCUGCGCCAUAGCAAUAACACGUUGCACCUCCCCGUUCUGUUAUUUCAUGCUACGCGCUGCAUUUUCUGUUUUAUUUGCCACUCUGUUUUUAAGCACGCGUUUCGAACUUUCUCGCGGGAUUGGUUGUUCUUUGUUAGCGUAUUAGUUUCUCUUUUACUUUAUUUUAUUUGAUUGUUUGAAUUUUUGUUAAUUUGAUUUUGAAAUUUGAAAAGAAAACCUCGAAAUGAAAGGAGAAGCAGAUUAUUGAGACAUGAUUUGUUUCCUUUUUAAGGGCGCAUAAUCAGAUGCUGCCGGACUUAAAUAUGGAAUUAAAUAAAUUAUUUGGGCACGUUAUUUUGUCAGAGAGAGAUUUGAUUGUGCCGUCUAUUUUUUUAGCCUGAAUCAGUGAUUGUUUGAUUCUGUAGAAUACUAUAUUAUAUUGCUGAUUUUAUGAAAAUCUUUUUUGUUUUCCUUCUACUUAUACUUAGUUCACUUUUUAUAUCUACCUAUUAUUUUACUUAUGCUCAAAGUAGAAUUGUAAUUGUAAUUUUGAUUUCUCUUUUUCUGGUGGCUUAUUUCUUGGUAAAUCUCCCUUUAUUUGUUGGUGAACAAAAGUUGAAGCCUAAUUUGUAUGACCAAAUAAAAUAGGAAAGACAAUGCUUUGUAGUAUUUGUUUUGUGGGUCAUUCUUAUUAAUGAGGUUCUGUUGGCAUUGUGUUGCCUGUAGGGUCGUUUUAGACUGGAGCCAGAGAAGAAAAGAAUAAUAUAUGGAGGCCGACGCAGGAAAAGGUUUGGAAUGCCCGAAGACUAUGGAUGGGAAGGCGAGUAACGGGAGUGGGAUAGAGAAGGAAAUUCCUUCAUGUUGUUUGAAGGCUAAAGCUUCAGCCCCUGAGUCAGAGGCAAAGUGACAUUCCACUGUUGUUUCUGGAUGGUUUUCGGCUUCUCAAACUUUCUCAGGGAAAUCUGUAAAACCAGAAUAUUUCAACAACCCGAUGUGGCCAGGAGAAGCCCAUUCAAUUAAAGUUGAAAAGAUCUUGUACAGGGAAAAGUCAGAUUACCAAGAGGUCUUGGUUUUUGAGUCAUCAACGUACGGGAAAGUACUG